rnacentral:rRNA from 1 species
AGAGUUUGAUCCUGGCUCAGGAUAAACGCUGGCGGCGUGCCUAAUGCAUGCAAGUCGAACGGGGUCCCUUCGGGGAUUUACGUGGCGGACGGGUGAGGAACACGUGGGGAAUCUGCCCUGAGGUGGGGGGUAGCCCGUGGAAACACGGGGUAAUUCCGCAUAGCCUCUUCUGCUAGUAGGGCGGGAGAGGAAAGCCUUCGGGCGCCUUGGGAGGAGCCUGCGGUCCAUUAGUUAGUUGGUGGGGUAACGGCCUACCAAGGCGACGAUGGAUAGCUGGUCUGAGAGGAUGAUCAGCCACACUGGGACUGAGACACGGCCCAGACUCCUACGGGAGGCAGCAGUCGGGAAUCUUGCGCAAUGGGCGAAAGCCUGACGCAGCAACACCGUGUGGGCGACGAAGGCCUUCGGGUCGUAAAGCCCUGUUGUUGGGGACGAAGGGCGAAGGGUUAAUAGCCCCUAGCCUGACGGUACCCUUCGAGGAAGCCCCGGCUAACUACGUGCCAGCAGCCGCGGUAAUACGUAGGGGGCGAGCGUUGUCCGGAAUUAUUGGGCGUAAAGAGCGUGUAGGCGGUUCGGUAAGUCUGCCGUGAAAACCCGGGGCUCAACCCCGGGCGUGCGGUGGAUACUGCCGGGCUAGAGGGUGGUAGAGGCGAGUGGAAUUCCCGGUGUAGCGGUGAAAUGCGCAGAUAUCGGGAGGAACACCAGUAGCGAAGGCGGCUCGCUGGGCCAUUCCUGACGCUGAGACGCGAAAGCUAGGGGAGCGAACAGGAUUAGAUACCCCGGUAGUCC